GUUUUUGUUAUUUGAAUUAUCACUGUUUAUCAAGCACUGAACUUUGUCCACUGUUGAGGCUUCUUUAUUCACUUGUGGGUUUCCUUUCUUUUAUAUAAAUGUGGCGUCGUCGACGGUUACGUUUUCACGACGUACAUAACACCGAUCUACACACACUGUCGAAGCACUACUGUUUUGUAGAGCUGUAUAUCGGUCUUGGAGGACAGCGUAUUUCACUUCUAGCACUUCCAUAUCGAUAUCUCCAGAAACAUGUAAUGAUGAUGAAGUUGUAUAGGAAUGUGCCAUACAACUAAUCAUGCUAAAGAAUUGCAGCAAGAGAAACUAGCAAUGCCAUGGACAAGAGGUCAAGUGAGCCCUUCAUGAAGAAAACUAAAACAUACUAUUUUGCACUGUACAGAAUGUAAAAUUGUAGUCAGACCAGUUCCGUUUAUGUUUCUGUCAGCCUGUUAUGCUCAUCCUCACAUUCUGACUGGUGGGUUUGUGUGAUCAAACAGGUCUGACAUGUCAUGUUCUAUGUACCAAGUGUAAUUUCUGGUACGAGAUGUUUUAUAACACAAUUUGCAAUAUCCUUUUUUAAUUUAUAAAUUUUGUAAAUAUUUCUUAUGAAAAAAAUUCUUGAUUAUUUUGGUGACUAGGUGUCAGAGAGGUGUGUAUGUGCGGAGAUAUUUAAUAAUCUUUGACCUGUGUGCUGUUGCCUUUAUAUUUAACAAUCUAUAGACUAUCAGUUGGUAAAAUAAGUUAGAUACUGUGGAGUAGUCUGCCGAGAGAAGUUGUGUGUGACCAAAUGUGGUCAAAGUUGGGCAAGUGUCGCCUGUUAAGUCUAAAUAACAAUGCUCAAAAGCAUCUUUUUUUUAAA